AAGACUCACACUACCACCAGGGUCAUAAAAAUACCCCUGGAAAUGCCCACAACUCCUAGGAAAGCCUUGUCAAAUAUGUGUUUCUUCAGGUUCACGGUACAGAAGAAGACUCACACUACCACCAGGGUCAUAAAACUACCCCUGGAAAUGCCCACAAAUCAUACGAAAGCCUUGUCAAAUAUGUGUUCUUGGCCGGCGAAAUGUCUUGUAAUACGACUCUAUGUGUGUAUGUAAGGACUAAGGAACGAUCGAGGCCGCUGUACGGACGACGAAGGGAAAAUAAACUUGUAAAAAAUC